rnacentral:rRNA from 1 species
UACGUAGGGGGCUAGCGUUGUCCGGAUUUAUUGGGCGUAAAGAGCGUGUAGGCGGCCAGGUAGGUCCGUUGUGAAAACUCGAGGCUCAACCUCGAGACGUCGGCGGAAACCCUCUGGCUAGAGUCCGGAAGAGGAGAGUGGAAUUCCUGGUGUAGAGGUGAAAUUCGUAGAUAUUAGGAAGAACACCGGUGGCGAAGGCGGCCCACUG